rnacentral:lncRNA from 1 species
CCAUGGAGGGGGAGCAAGCGUGAGCUGGCACCCAACACCCCUUUCUCCACAUGGAGGGUGGUCACAUGUUCUCCACCUGUUCCCCUAGAUGGUGAGACUUCUGUUGGGCUUGCUUUUCCUGGGCCAGUGUCCAUCAGCCAGGUGCUCAGCCAUCGGUGCGCUGAAGCUCCAGCCCUUCCUGGUGCCCUGAUCUCCUGCACUGAGCUGUGAUGAGUACAUCCGGGUUCCACUGGAUGCAUGUGCGGGAAGGGGGGUGCCCUGGGUUGGGUCAGUGAUGAGAACCUUAUAUUGUCCUGAAGAGAGGUGAUGACUUAAAAAUCAUGCUCAAUAGGAUUACGCUGAGGCCCAGCCUGGGGGAGAAUUUUGGAAAAGGAUGCUGGGAUCCCAGGGUCCCCAACAGGGCCACUGUAUUUUGGACCUGGGACCUGGUGGCUCUGAAGGGCAUCUGGAGGUGGCCCAACCUGUCUCUGCACUCUAGUUUCCCUGUGUGGGCUUGGUGUCGGUGCUCCAGUUCCCUGGGGGCAGGGAAUGUUGAUGGCUCCUUCCUGAGUCCCUGUUCUCGCCUUUGUCUUUCAGUGAGCUCUUUCACCUAGGAGGGCCCCUUGGCAUUGACUGGCAUAGAUGGUGACCCUGAAGAAAGACUUCAGUUGGGCCUGAAGGCCCCGGGCCAGUGUCCAUCAUCCAGGUGCUCAGCUCCCAGUGCACUGAAGCUCAGACCCUUCCUGGUUCCCUGGUCUCUUGCACUGAGCUCUGAUGGUGAGACUUGAGGAAGACUUCCACUGGGCCUGCUUUUCCUGAGCCAGUGCCCAUCACCCAGGUGCUCAGUCCCUGGUGCACUGAAGCUCCAGCCCUUCCUGGCGCCCUGGUCUCCUGAACUGAGCUGUGUGAGCUCUUCUGCCAAGCGGUUCCCCUGGCAUUGACCAACAUAGAUGGUGAGCCUGGAGGAAGACUUGCGUUGGGCCCAAAGGCCCUAGACCAGUGUCUGUCAGCCAGGUUCCCAACCCCCGAUGCGCUGAAGCUCAAGCCUUUCCUGGCACCCUGGUCUCCUGCACUGAGCUGUGUGAGCUCUUCUGCCCAGGCGGGCCCCCUGGAAUUGAUGGGUAUAGAUGGUGACCCCGGAGGAAAAUUUGUGUUGGGCCCACUAUCCCUGGGCCAAUGUCAGUCAGCUAGGCACCCAGCCCCCAGUGCGCUGAAGCUCAGGACCUUCCUAGUGCCCUCGGCUCCUGCACUGAGCUCUGAUGGUAAGCCUGGAGGAAGACUUGUGUUGGGCCCACAGGCCCCAGGCCAAUGUCUGUCAGCCAGGUGCUCAGCCUCUGGUGCGCUGAAACUCUGACCCUUCCUGGCACACUGGUCUCCUGCACUGAGCUGGGAUUUUCCACCUAGGAGGUCCACCUGGCAUUGACUGACAUAGAUGGUGAGACUUCUGUCGGCCUCGCUUUUCCUGGGCCAGUGUCCAUCAGCCAGGUGCUCAGCCCCAGUGCACUGAAGCUCCAGCCCUUCCUGGCGCCCUGGACUGAGCUGUGUGAGCUCUUCUGCCAAGGGGGUCCUCCUGGCAUUGACCAACAUAGGUGGUGAGCCUGGAGGAAGACUUGCAUUGGGCCCAAUGGCCCUGGACCAGUGUCUGUCAGCCAGGUUCCCAGCCCCCGAUGCGCUGAAGCUCAAGCCUUUCCUGGCACCCUGGUCUCCUGCACUGAGCUGUGUGAGCUCUUCGGCCCAAGUGGUCCCCCCGGCCUUAAGCGGCAUAGAUGGUGAGCCUGGAGGAAGACUCGUGUUGGGCCCACAGGCCCCAGGCCAGUGUACGUCAGCCAGGUGCUCAGCCCAUGGUGUGCUGAAGCUCUGACCCUUCCUGACUCCGUGGUCUCCUGCACUGAGCUGUGAUGACCAUAUCCAGUGAGCUCUUCCAAACAGGUGGGCUCCCUAGCAUUGACCGACAGUGAGCUCUGCCACCCAGGACAUCCCCCUGGCAUUGACUGGCAUAGUGAGCUUUUCCACCCAGGUGGGCCCCCUGGCAUUGACCGACAUAGAUGAUGAGACUGGAGGAAGACUUCCAUUGGGCCCACUUUUCCUGGGCCAGUGUCCAUCAGCCAGGUGCUCAGCCCCUGGUGUACUGAAGCUCCAGCCUUUCCUGGUGCCCCAGUCUUCUGCACUAAGCUGUGUGAGCUCUUCCACCCAGGAGGGCCCCUUGGCAUUGACUGGCAUAGAUGGUGAGACGGGAGGAAGACUUGUGUUGGGCCUGCUGUUCCUGGGCCAGUGGCCAUCAGCCUGUUGCCCAGCCCCUGAGGCGCUGAAGCUCAGGCCCUUCCUCACACCCUGGUCUCCUGCACUAGCUGUGUGAGCUCUUCUGCCCAGGUGGGGCCCAUGGCCUUACACGACAUAGGAGCACGCAUUUCUUGAAGUCCUGCAAAGGUGAUGGUGGUCCAGACAGGAGAGGGUUCCUUCAGCCCAACAUAGCGCAGCUCCCAGCUGAAACUCGGAAGGCUGGUCAGGCCUCGAGGACUGCCCAGGCCACAUGAGGGUUUGGUGGCCGGGAGGGCCAAUGAUGCUCUGCGUCUGUGUUGGAUCAGUGUUCUUCAUGGAUUCCAUCACAUGGUGAGCCUUGAGGAAGACUUGUAUUGGGCCCCCACAGGCCCCAGGCCAGUGUCCGUCAGCCUGGUGCUCACCCCCAGUGUGCUGAAGCUCAGACCCUCCGUGGCACCCUGGUCUCCUGCACUGAGCUGUGUGAACUUUUCCUCCCAGAUGGGCCCCCUGGCAUUGACUGGCAUAGAUGGUGAGACCGGAGGAAGACUUGCAUUGGGCCUGUUGUUCCUGGGCCAGUGGCCAUCAGCCUGUUGCCCAGCCCCUGAUGCGCUGAAGCUCGGGCCCUUCCUCGCGCCCUGGUCUCCUGCACUGAGCUGUGGUGAGCUCUUCUGCCCAGGUGAGGCCCAUGGCCUUAAGCGGCAUAGGAGCAUGCAUUUCGUGAAGCCCUGCAAAGGUGAUGGUGGUCCCGGCAGGAAAGGGUUCCUUCAGCCCAACAUAGAGCAGCUCCCAGCUGAAACUCAGCGGGCUGGUCAGGCCUCGAGGACUGCCCAGGCCACAUGAGAUGGUGAGUCUGGAGGAAGACUUGUGUUGGACCCCCACAGGCCCCAGGCCAGUGUCCAUCAGCCUGGUGCUAAUCCCCCAGUGCUCUGGAGUUUGGACCCUCCCUGGCACCCUGGUCUCCUGCACUGAGCUUGAGCUCUUCCACCCGGGCGGGCCCCCGGCAUUGACUGGCAUAGGUGGUGAGCCCGGAGGAGGACUUGCGUUCGGCCCGCUGGUCCCAGUGUGUCCGGAAUUGGUGGGUUCUUGGUCUCACUGACUUCAAGAAUGAAGCUGCGGACCCUCGCUAUGAUGAUAUGGAAGAAAAGCACUCUUUGGCCUGUUGUGACUGGGACAGUUGACAGCACCCAGGUGUCCUUUAAUGAAAAUGCUCUUGACACCAAUGCAUCCUAGCAUCACAGCUUCAGGAAGCCUUCUCAAGUGUGCAUGGGGAGUACUAUGUCUUUCAUCAAUAAUGAAAUCUUCUGAUUUGUAAGACAUGCUGCCAAGAGAUGUGCCAUUCUAUUAUAAAAGAUCAGUAGCUUCCUUUACCGACGUGUAUAUUCUAUCUAGAACAUUGAGCUAUGGAAGACUCCCACCUAAGGGAAUUAGUUUUACACCUUCAGAUAAAGACUGCUGAGAAGAGCACCCUCUGGUGUUGUCACAGAGGCAAGUGCUACCGCACAGGCAUGCUGCAGUGAAUUUAACUGAUCCUCUGUCCCUGCAACCGUUGUUUAAGGAUGCUAUUCUGAAAAGACUGUGGAGGAAGAAAACCCUUUACCCUGUUGUUCAGGGAGAAACUGACACCACUCAACUGCCUGGCACUGAAAAUGUGGCAUCCAGUCCACUUUACCAUCAGUGUUUAAGGAAACCAUCUCUGAUAAGGAUGACUGAGGAAGAGUACUCUUUGGCUUGUUGACACCAGCACAGCUGACACACCCAGAUAUCUGUUUGGUCUCCUGUGAACUUUCAACCAGGAUUUAAGGAUGCCACUCUGGUUAAAAGCUGAAACAACUUCAAGGAAACUUCAGGGAAAAGAGAAGGCCUGGAAUCUGAUCCUCCACUUCAGAGAACAGGGGUUGGAAUGCAGUGGCACCAUUUCGGCUCACUGCAACUUCUGCCUCCCGGGUUCAAACGAUUCUCCUACCUCAGCCUCCCAAGUAGCUGGGACUACAGAUGCACGCCACCACAACUGGCUAAUUUUUUUGUAUUUUUAGUAGAGAGGGGGUUUCACCACGUUGGCCAGGUUGGUCUCGAUCUCUUGACGUCGUGAUUCGCCCGCCUCAGCCUCCCAAAGUGCUGGGAUUACAGGCGUGAGCCACUGUGCCUGGCCUGUAGUGUUUAAUAUGUUAAACUGAAUUUUUCAGGUAUAUAGAUAAAAAUUAGUCAAAAAACACUGUAAUUAGAUAUGAACAUUCAAAAAGUUUGGUUUAUUGAUACAGGUGUUCUACUGAGAAAGACAUUUUUAUAAGAUUUCUUGUGAUAAAUGUGUCCCUGAAAAUACUCAAUCUUUUAAAUUUUGCACUUAAAAACCUCCUACGCAAAAACAGUUUGGUGCAGACUACUUAAUACUUAUGCAACUUUGUAAUUAGUGUUAACAAACAUAAUUAAUAAUCAAAAUAAGAGUACUAGUGUACAGAAAGCAUCUCUAAUUUCCAAUAUACAAUAGUAACUAUAGAACAAUGCAAAAACAAAAACAAAAAAACCAGUAACGAACAGGGAACAGUAACAGUAGCAUAUUAGAAAACAGGGAUAAGGAAAGGUCACAACUGCUAUAAUGCAGACUUGAGCAAAAAGAGGAGGGGGCAUAAAGACUGGAUAAAGCCACACAAUAAGCACCUCUAAGAUGGAGCACGUGGCCAAAAGAGCAGAUGAGCACAUUCCUCAUGUACCACAUCCCCCGCAGCUGGCUGCAUUCCACUGUGCCAGCACUCUACAUUCAGUUACUGGUACUCUCUGGUGCACACUUACUGGAGAACUGUGUACAAUAAAGUCAAUGCAGCUUCCACAUUAUACUGACACACUAUAUAUACAGACAACAUUUACCUAUUUUCCCAUAGUGUGUGAACUAAUUCAUGAAACAGAAUUAUACACUCUGAAGCAACAAAGUUGUGUAAAGUGACGAAAAUAAUUUUAUUGUGGAAACAGAGUAGAGGUUAUAACACAAUGCCACUUCACUAAUUCUUUCAAACUUGAUUCAAAUGAUGUUAGUGAAAGUUUUAGAGGCAAAUGCCUCUAAAAUUCUCUGACUUGUAUGUCAUAAAAAAAAAGCUUUCUCUCUUAAAAUACAAUUGCCUCUGGGUGUGUGUAGGGGUGAGAGUGGAGGGGCGCUAAGCCCUGGUAGUCAUUCAAAAAUUUGAUUACUUUGUUACUAAUUACCUUCACUGAAGAAAAUAACUUGGAGUUUUAGUAUUAGCGACAAGGUAAUCGAAUUCUGAAUUUUGGACGUAGGACCAUUUAGAAAACAAAAGACCUGAGUGAAGACUGUCAUUGGUAGGUCAUGAUCCUUGGCAGCAUGACUGUACCAAAUGUCCGGAAGGAGAGUGAGAAGCAUAUAUCUGAAGGAAACGUAGAAUUCUCACAUAACUAUCACAAAAUUUUGUCUUGCCUUCAAAAAUGGAAAAAACCCACUGUUUCCUCUUUCUGCUUCUUUCAUCACAUCAUCCUGAGGUUCCAGAACUCAUGCCAGAUACUUAGUCCAGUUAUUCUAUAACUUAAAUAGAUGUUGUGGCCUAGUUUUGGAGAUUCACUACCACUUAAUACAUUUUUCCUAAGAAUUUUAAAAAGUUCAAAUCAAUCUAUUAACAAAUGAACUUUUGGCAUAUGAUCUGCUUCUAAUUAGCAAUGAUUAGACCUGUAAAAUGUAGUUAUUAUUCCUGUCCGUUACCACAAUAAAAAAUUGGUUCUACGAUAUCAAAAUGUCUUUAUGUCACAGAAGAAAAAACAAAUAAAAACUAAUACAUUUAAAUCUCCCACAUGGUUUUCAGGCAACAAUUCUCAAUUGAAAAUAAAACAUCUUACCUUUAAAAUCAA